AUGUCGUACUACGACCGGCGUGGGGAGUCGUCGGUGCUGGAGGCGUUCACGCUGUCGCCGCUGCCUUACCCGGUGAUCCUGAUCCUGAUGAUGGUGACGCUGCUGCUGGGGGCGUCGUGGUUCUUCUCCUACGAGGAGUUCAUGGAGGAGGCGUCGGAGCAGUUCAGCUGGUUCCUGCUGGGCGUGCCCAUCGCGCUCGUGCUCCUCAUCCGCUGGAUCUCCUCCGUCGACACCUUCGAGGGUUACUUCGGGUUCUACCCCACCGAGAGCCGCUGGCGGGGCUACCCGGCCGCGCCCUCCGAGGGCAGCUCCCCCUGGGGCGUCGCCAUGGUCGUCGUCCUCCUCCUCGUCCUCGCCAGUUUCCACUCCACCUUCCAGGACAUGUGGAAGGCUUGA
rnacentral:rRNA from 1 species